GCACUGCCUUGGAACCUCUGCAGCGCCUGCCCCAUGGCCUCAGGGGUCAGGUGGCGGCGCCAGAGCGAAGCUAGCUUGUCCAGGUCUGGGGAUGCUUAGAGACCACCUACGUGAUUCCUUUGGCAGCAAGUGACAUUU
ensembl:snoRNA